GGACACCAAUUCAGAGAAAUGUUGCCCACCCUACCAAACCUCUCUGCUGCCAGGAAGGUGAGAAAAGUACUUCUUUGGAGAUUACAUUUUGAUGAGAAGCCUGGGCCAGCAUUCCUCUUGGAAAAGAAGACAGAGGCAAACAAAUGGCAUUUGAGUUUUGGUCUUCCAUUAUUCAAACUUUCCUUAAAAAUGACAGCAUGGAAAUCUUCAAGUCUGCUUGGAAUCUGAGCCAAUUUGAUGGGAGAAUCUGCAGAUUUUCAAGCAUGUCCACUGGAAUUCUGAUGCCCCUUCCAUAGCAAGCAACUCUGUGGAUGCCUGUUCUGUCACCAUCUAGUGGUAAUUGAAGCCUGGCUCUCCCAAGAAGCUCUCAACUUCCUAAGGCUCUUUUAUCCAGAUGUUGUUUAUUCUACUGCAUUUCAUGAAGAUGAUGACCAUCAUUCACUUCUCCUCCCCCAUCUUUAUAUGAAAACCUCUUUAUAAAAAACUUGUGGGGAACUUCCACUUUCAAGAAGAUGGAGUGGGUAUACUUUUCCUUAUUCCUCCCACUAAGUACAACUAACAACCCUAGACAUUAUAUGUAAAACAAACAUAAAAAGACUGAAAGGUGGAGAAAGGAAGGCAGACUGGCUAGGGACCUCAGGACCUGAAGAACAACGAGGUCAUGAAUUCCAUGGAUUUUCUUUUUGUCUCAUAUAUCACAGAAUUGGAGCUGAAGAAGCUGACAAUCUGGAACACAAACAGAUGCAGACAAAUAAAAAAAAAAAGCCCAAACACAAGCCUGCUAUCUCCAGCCAAAGUACCAGGAAAGGGACAGGCUUAUAAGACAGAACCUUUAGAAAAUAACUACUUUACUCCAGCCAAAUACCACAGAAAGAACUAUAGUCUAGACUUCCACCACUGCAUGGCUGUAACUAGGCUCCCCCUCACCAGAGUGGUCAGAGGAAGCUGAGUAGGGAGCCAUGUCUUUCAUCCCUGCUUGGUGGUAACAAACACACAUCCCUUGCAGUGUUGGUGGAGACCAUGUGGGAAGCCUGCAUCCCCAUCUCCACCUAGCUGGAAUGAUGCACCUCUCUCUCCUCCCCACUAGGAGUCCUAAUGGAGAGUCAGGACUCUCCCCACCGUCCAGUGGUAAUGAGACAACCACCAAAAGUGUCAGGGAAGGCUUUGCGGGGAAUUGGAACUCCCCUAAGAUGAUAACAGAAGCUGAGUGGAGAACCUGGUUUUCUACACUCACCAAGCAGGAACAAAGUGCCACUCCUAUUUCUUCAG